CAGGAAUGUAUUCCACUGCCCUCUGCAGAAAGGAAUCUAUAUCAGACCUGCUCAGGUGUGAAAAUUGAGACCCAGAGAGAUUAAAUGACUUAUUCAACUUCUAGGAUGUGGCCUGUGGUUGCAGUACAUUGAUUCUAAAGAUGGCCCGGAUCUUCACUCAUAUCCUGAUGUCCUUUAGCGUGUCACUUUGCAGCUCCUCCCAUGAAACCAUCAAGUCUAUUUCCCUACACCUUAAAAGUGGGUUGGACUUAUCUUUAUUUAUUCCUGGAGAGGACACUCUUGGUGCC